AGUCGAGCGGACUAAUGGGAGCUUGCUCCCGUUAGUUAGCGGCGGACGGGUGAGUAACACGUGGGCAACCUACCUGUAAGACUGGGAUAACUUCGGGAAACCGGAGCUAAUACCGGAUGACAUAAAGGAACUCCUGUUCCUUUAUUGAAAGAUGGCUUCGGCUAUCACUUACAGAUGGGCCCGCGGCGCAUUAGCUAGUUGGUGAGGUAACGGCUCACCAAGGCGACGAUGCGUAGCCGACCUGAGAGGGUGAUCGGCCACACUGGGACUGAGACACGGCCCAGACUCCUACGGGAGGCAGCAGUAGGGAAUCUUCCGCAAUGGACGAAAGUCUGACGGAGCAACGCCGCGUGAGCGAUGAAGGCCUUCGGGUCGUAAAGCUCUGUUGUUAGGGAAGAAUAAGUGCUAGUUGAAUAAGCUGGCACCUUGACGGUACCUAACCAGAAAGCCACGGCUAACUACGUGCCAGCAGCCGCGGUAAUACGUAGGUGGCAAGCGUUGUCCGGAAUUAUUGGGCGUAAAGCGCGCGCAGGCGGUUUCUUAAGUCUGAUGUGAAAGCCCCCGGCUCAACCGGGGAGGGUCAUUGGAAACUGGGAAACUUGAGUGCAGAAGAGGAAAGUGGAAUUCCAAGUGUAGCGGUGAAAUGCGUAGAGAUUUGGAGGAACACCAGUGGCGAAGGCG
rnacentral:rRNA from 1 species